GAGGCAAUAAAAUAAUUACAAGUGAAUUGAAAAUUAAAAAUUACUUGGACUAUAAAUACAUAUACAUACCAGUAAUGUUACUGCCAACUAUGUUUGAGUUUCUAACUAUUGUUGUAGAAAUGUUGACAGAAUCACGAACAAAUAUUUCCUGAGGCGUGUAGAGUCACUGCCCUUAAGGACUUAUCCGCGGUGUGUUGCGCAAGUCCCCCAGGAUACAACAGAAACUUCUCAGAGCAAUCUCUGAGGAUCUCAGAACUAGCAAGGAUCUCCUUUAGGGAGAAUAAAAAUNAACCCAGAAUUUUGAGAGAUGAAGAAAAGAGAAAGAAAGAGAUUAAUAGAAAGGAGAGUGAGAAUGAGAAAGAGAGAACUGAUGAAUUGUGUGUUAGGAAUGGAUGAAAGCCACUCUAUUUAUAGAGUGAGAAACCAAUGAAGAUUGGCCCAAGGCCCAGAAUCCAACGGGAAAAUCCNNNN
rnacentral:lncRNA from 1 species